GAAAUCAAACUCAAUGGGAAUGCCUCAGUCAGCACUGCACCUGCUGCCAAGCUUACCGACAUGAGUUCAGUUCCCGGAUCCUCACGGUGGGAGAGGAGUAACUAACUGGAGGUGUCCUCUGGCCUCCUGGGAUUUCGUGUGGACUCAAGAGAUGUCACACAGUCUUAGCCAGAAUCAGAUCCAGAAAUGGCACACAGGGACACCGAGGACAACAGAGAAAACAUGGCUCCUGAUUCAAAAAGCAACACUCUUCUCUUGCGACUGAAACUUCACAGGGAGAAAAGCUGCUGCCGCACCAAGUUCUCUAGGGCCAGAGACUGAUGUUGCUCAGUUGUCAUGGAUCAACUGGAGAUCCAAAGUCCAUAUUGAAGUCUGAGUAAUGUAUGGAAAAGUGCUUUUAAAAGAAGCAUCCAGAAGAUUUAAAGUCUUCAGUCUUGACUGAGAUGUCACAGUGAUGAUCUGGUAAGAGCCACGGGCCUCUCCUUGACCCUGAGUUCUGACACUGAGCUGCAAACAUCUCUACCCUUCACCCACCUCAGGCUUUGAACACUUUGCUUCAGGCCCACCCAACAGAAGGAAGGAGUAGGAGGGUUAUGGGUGAAGAACCAUGAAAUACAGUCACUUCUUCCAGUCUGG
rnacentral:lncRNA from 1 species